rnacentral:rRNA from 1 species
GGAGGGUGCAAGCGUUGUUCGGAAUUAUUGGGCGUAAAGGGCGUGUAGGCGGUUUGGUAAGUCAGAUGUGAAAGCCCUGGGCUUAACCCAGGAAGUGCAUUUGAAACUACCAGACUUGAGUAUGGGAGAGGAGAGUGGAAUUCCCAAUGUAGAGGUGAAAUUCGUAGAUAUUGGGAGGAACAUCUGUGGCGAAGGCGACUCUCUGGACCAAUACUGACGCUGAGACGCGAAAGCGUGGGGAGCAAACAGGAUUAGAUACCCUGGUAGUCCACGCCGUAAACGAUGAGAACUAGGUGUAGCGGGUAUUGACCCCUGCUGUGCCGCAGCUAACGCAUUAAGUUCUCCGUCUGGGGAGUACGGCCGCAAGGCUA